GAACAAAAUUUCUUACCUACCCUGCCUUUAAUAGAAUUCAAACUGUUUCGAAUUCCUAUUUCCGGCCCUUUAAAUUUAAAAGUAGGCGCGCGGAAAAGGCGCCUAAACAGCAGCACCCGCUUCGAAUGUUAUCACUCGAUUGAAUGGGCGUUAUCAGUGGUUAUCAGCUCAUAGAUAUGGGCCAGAAGGGGCCUGCUGCGCCUACUGGUAGGCUCAGAUGGCUGUUAUCAUCCAUCUACAUGGUUAAUCACCGAUACAAAUACAAGAGACGAUUCCAGAUCCAAUCAGAUCGGAAGUUCACUGGAUGACGCGGCAUCGUUGCGGUAUUUCCCGCCGGUUGAUAUUUUUCAGUAUCGCGAGAGUUUCUCCAUGCGAGUGAACGUUAUGAAGUGAGAUCGCGAGACUUGGCUCAUACGAGUAAACGCCAUCACUGAGAGCAUCAUUCAUCUCUUCUUAUCAUUUUCCCUGUUUAUUCUCAGCAUCAAUUUCCAGUGUGUGGCCCCUUCUGGCCCAUAUCUAUGAGCUGAUAACCACUGAUAACGCCCAUUCAAUCGAGUGAUAACAUUCGAAGCGGGUGACAGCAGAGAGGAUCGGCUGGAGAAUUGACGGUUGAAAACUGCACAAAGUAAAGUCAAGAUCCUCCUGCUGUAAAAACCAGCAUUGACCAGCAUGAAUUCCCUUUCACUCACUGUUUCCCAACCUGCAGUCGGUUCAGCAUGAAACAUCAGGCUCACAGCAACAGAUUAAGAAGAAUCCUGCAUCAAAAGAUGACUUCAACUUGCAUGUGAGACAGAGUGAGAAGAGAAAAAGAGGAAUGAAGAUGGACUGUCUAAGAAACCUGAUGAACGAAAGUCUUACGGGUUUGGAACGACAUGAGGGUGAGUAAUAACAGAAUUCUCAUUUUUGGGUGAACUAACCCUUUAACAAAACAUUCAUGAAAUAUUAGCAUAUCACUUAUUAAUCAUGUAUGAGCGUAUAGUCAUAUUUUGUAAUCAUUAGUUCAUCAUUAACUAUAAACUUAUAAAUGAACAUUAUUAUGAAGGGUUAUCGAUAUUUGAAAAGUUGUGUUACAACACUUUCUUCAUCUAUUGUAUUCUAUAAAUAUCACAUAAAAUUCAAUUUUAUUGCUUACCAAGAGGUGUUGUGGUCCCUGUAGUAGAGCAAAACCACGCAAUUCAGUAUUAUUACGACAGUAAACAGCCUCAAGAUCCAUUUAAUAUAUGUCAUACUCAUAUUCAUCUGUAGCAUUGAUUUCAGUGUAGAAAGAACACAGGUGCAGGUUUCGAUGAGAGAGAUUUUUUUUUUUUUUUUUUUACCUCUCACCAAGUGGGUUUGUGUCGGAGAUGGGUGGGGUCAAGUUACAUGCCUGAAUUUGGUCUUCUAAAAACUGGCUUAGUACAUGAAGCCUUUUCUUCAUGGUUUUCUAUGGGGGAGAAGAGGCUCAAAAUAACACACACAAAAAAUAAAAGACAUGUUUUAUUAUUCAGAGAGAUCUUUUCUUUUGGUUAAGAAAAUGUGAAAAGUAGGUCUACUCAAGCCAGUAAAUAAAUCGAACCAACAUUGAACUUGGGUUGAAUAAUGAUAUUAUUGUCUUAAAGUUGCUUUGCAACUAAAAUUUUAUUUAUUUUAUAACUGAAGAACUUUGGAGCUUUUAUGUCCUUGAUUUUUUACUGUGAAGCUGCUUUAAAACAAUCGGUAUCACAUAAAGCGAUAUAAACAUAAAUUUGACUUGAUCAAGUAACAUUUGGCUGGUCAUGUGAUCUUAACAUGAGAUGACCUGCUCCCUGUAAAAUAAAACAUUAAUUAGGAAACUAAUAUGACUGGAAUAUUAAUAUCAUGUGAGUGGACAUGAUUUCAAACUUAUUUUUUCUAAAGUACUAUUCUUUUUUUGUAGGGGUAAAACAAUUUGAAGAAGAAUUACAAAACCAACCAGCUCAAACACAAUGCAUGUGAUGGUUGAUUACAAAUGUUUUAAACAAAAAAUGUGGCCCAGCCUGUUUAUCUGAACAAACAAGUACCAUGUAAACCAGUCCAUUCCUAAAAGCCACAAUGUGAUCAAAGAGUCAAUAGGCCAUGCAGAGACAGUGCCUCAACAUGACAUUUACUGUAUAUAUUUACAAUACCUUUCAGUUAAAUUUACUUACUCUAUCCUGGUGUAGUCAUGGUUCACUCAUUUACCCAACACCAAAAUAUGAUGAUACUGAAAUGUCACUUUGCAGGACAGAAUUCAUUAUUUUAUUGUAUUUCAUUUAUUUUAUUUUAAAUGAGAUAUUUGAAACCAACAUACAAAACCACUGCUAAAAAAAGCCCACAAAUAUUUGUAACUGGACUUUUAACUUAAAACCUUAGAGUGAAAUAUACACAGUAUAGAGUUUGUAACUUCUCUGUAUUCUCAUCUCUUCUUUAUAGGCCUAUUAAAACAAGUAAAACAGUUAUUGACAAUUAAUUUGAGUAAUUAAUCAACUUUAAUAAAAAAUGAACAAUUAACACUGAAACGCUGAACUGUGUUCACUGUCAACUGUGUAUGACAACGGUUCAAAUUGUGAUAUAAAGUCGUUAUUUUUGUUUUGUUUUUGAACACAAAACGUAUUCUUGUCACUUAAUAAUAUUAAAGUUGAACCACUGUAGGCACAUUGACUAUUUUAACGAU